rnacentral:rRNA from 1 species
UACGUAGGGGGCUAGCGUUGUCCGGAAUCAUUGGGCGUAAAGAGCGUGUAGGCGGCCCGGUAAGUCCGCUGUAAAAGUCAAAGGCUCAACCUUUGAAUGUCAGUGGAUACUGCCGGCUAGAGUCCGGAAGAGGCGAGUGGAAUUCCUGGUGUAGCGGUGGAAUGCGCAGAUAUCAGGAGGAACACCAAUAGCGAAGGCAGCUCGCUGGGACGUUACUGACACUGAGGCGCGAAAGCGUGGGGAGCGAACAGG